rnacentral:rRNA from 1 species
GACGAACGCUGGCGGCGUGCUUAACACAUGCAAGUCGAACGGAAAGGCCCUGCUUUUGUGGGGUGCUCGAGUGGCGACCGGGUGAGUAACACGUGAGUAACCUGCCCUUGACUUUGGGAUAACUUCAGGACACUUGGGCUAAUACCGGAUAGGAGCUCCUGCUGCUUGGUGGGGGUUGGAAAGUUUCGGCGGUUGGGGAUGGACUCGCGGCUUAUCAGCUUGUUGGUGGGGUAGUGGCUUACCAAGGCUUUGACGGGUAGCCGGCCUGAGAGGGUGACCGGCCACGUUGGGACUGAGAUGCGGCCCAGACCCCAACGGGAGGCAGCGGUGGGGAGGGUAGCACAAGGGGCGGAGGCCUGAUGCAGCAACGCCGCGUGCGGUAUGACGGCCUUCGGUUUGUAAACCGCUUUCGCCUGUCACGAAGCGUGAGUGACGGUAAUGGGUAAAGAAGCACCGGCUAACUACGUG